AGGGGAACCUGCGGAAGGAUCAUUG
rnacentral:rRNA from 1 species